ACGACCUUACUUGAACAGGAUCUGUUCUAUAGGUUGUACAUCUGUGUCCUUGAGUUCUAAGGAGACAAGAACCAAAGUCUGGUGGAUGAAUAGCUGCCCUGUGGCUAGAGCGUGAUUAACGGUUCAACAGAUCUCGGUCUGGUGGCUGUGGAGGAUCGUUCUUGGCAGGUUCCAAACCUGUUGGGAUGGCCACAAGGCGGUCUGACAGACU
rnacentral:snoRNA from 1 species